rnacentral:rRNA from 1 species
GUGGGGAAUAUUGGACAAUGGGCGAAAGCCUGAUCCAGCCAUGCCGCGUGUGUGAAGAAGGUCUUCGGAUUGUAAAGCACUUUAAGUUGGGAGGAAGGGCAGUAAGUUAAUACCUUGCUGUUUUGACGUUACCAACAGAAUAAGCACCGGCUAACUUCGUGCCAGCAGCCGCGGUAAUACGAAGGGUGCAAGCGUUAAUCGGAAUUACUGGGCGUAAAGCGCGCGUAGGUGGUUCAGCAAGUUGGAGGUGAAAUCCCCGGGCUCAACCUGGGAACUGCCUCCAAAACUACUGAGCUAGAGUACGGUAGAGGGUAGUGGAAGUUCCUGUGUAGCGGUGAAAUGCGUAGAUAUAGGAAGGAACACCAGUGGCGAAGGCGACUACCUGGACUGAUACUGACACUGAGGUGCGAAAGCGUGGGGAGCAAACAGGAUUAGAUACCCGGGUAGUCC